AUCUUUAGCUCAGUUGGUUAGAGCAACCGGCUCAUAACCGGUAGGUCUGGGGUUCGAGUCCCUGAAGGUC
rnacentral:tRNA from 1 species